rnacentral:snRNA from 1 species
AGGCACUUUUGGAAAAUGUUUUG